UACGGAGGAGGCAAGCGUUAUCCGGAAUUAUUGGGCGUAAAGCGUCCGUAGGUGGUUUAGUAAGUCUGCUGUUAAAGCGCGGGGCUUAACUCCGUAUCGGCAGUGGAAACUACUAGACUAGAGUGUGGUAGGGGUAGAGGGAAUUCCCAGUGUAGCGGUGAAAUGCGUAGAUAUCGGGAGGAACACCUAUGGCGAAAGCAGGUUUCUGGGCCAUCACUGACGCUGAGCUGCGAAAGCUAGGGGAGCAAACAGG
rnacentral:rRNA from 1 species